AAUGGACGCAAGUCUGAACCAGCCAUGCCGCGUGAAGGAUGACUGCCUAUGGGUUGUAAACUUCUUUUAUAUAGGAAGAACCUCUCUACGUGUAGAGAGCUGAGGGUACUAUACGAAUAAGGACCGGCUAACUCCGUGCCAGCAGCCGCGGUAAUACGGAGGGUCCAAGCGUUAUCCGGAUUUAUUGGGUUUAAAGGGUCCGUAGGCGGGGUUUUAAGUCAGUGGUGAAAGCCUGCAGCUCAACUGUAGAACUGCCAUUGAAACUGGAACUCUUGAAUGUGAUUGAGGUAGGCGGAAUAUGUCAUGUAGCGGUGAAAUGCUUAGAUAUGACAUAGAACACCGAUAGCGAAGGCAGCUUACCAAGUCAUUAUUGACGCUGAUGGACGAAAGCGUGGGGAGCGAACUGGAUU
rnacentral:rRNA from 1 species